CCUGCUCGCAGCGGCAGCCGCAGGUCUCGGGGGAGAAGGUCCCGUGGCCGCUGCAGUGGCCGUUGGCACCUGCCGGCGAGAGGAAGAAACUUUGGACGUGCAGGCUCCUCGGCAAUCCCGUGCUGUUUCAUUCUCGGCAGUGUCCCUGGUGCCUAGUUCUGCGUCUGGUACAUAGGAGGCGCUCUCAACGGUAGCACUUCCUCCAGCAUGAACAGCUUCUUCACUCGGGCCAGGAGGGCUUGGACGCUGCCUGCCAGCUCACAGUCCUUCUGUGGCGUCUGCAGGCGGAUGUUGUGC